rnacentral:rRNA from 1 species
UACUCCUACGGGAGGCAGCAGUGGGGAAUUUUGCGCAAUGGGGGAAACCCUGACGCAGCAACGCCGCGUGAGUGAUGAAGGCUUUCGGGUCGUAAAGCUCUGUCUAGAGGGAAGAAAUGAUAAUCGGUUAAUACCCGGUUUUCUUGGCAGUACCUCUGAAGGAAGCACCGGCUAACUCCGUGCCAGCAGCCGCGGUAAUACGGAGGGUGCAAGCGUUGUUCGGAUUUAUUGGGCGUAAAGCGCGUGUAGGCGGUUUGUUAAGUCUGAUGUGAAAGCCCUGGGCUCAACCUGGGAAGUGCAUUGGAAACUGGCAGACUUGAAUACGGGAGAGGGUAGUGGAAUUCCUAGUGUAGGAGUGAAAUCCGUAGAUAUUAGGAGGAACACCAGUGGCGAAGGCGGCUACCUGGACCGAUAUUGACGCUGAGACGCGAAAGCGUGGGGAGCAAACAGGAUUAGAUACCCUGGUAGUCCACGCCGUAAACGAUGAGUACUAGGUGUUGCGGGUAUUGACCCCUGCAGUGCCGCGGCUAACGCAUUAAGUACUCCGCCUGGGAAGUACGGUCGCAAGACUAAAACUCAAAGGAAUUGACGG